AACCCAUGUUGAUGACAUUUCUACAAGAGCUCCUUGAACCUAUCCCAUGUUUCAAAAGGGGACUCCAAUUCUGUUUGCACUAAAAGAGGAUAGUUCUUUCCUAUGCU